rnacentral:rRNA from 1 species
UACGGGGGGGGCAAGCGUUGUUCGGAAUUACUGGGCGUAAAGGGCGCGUAGGCGGUCUGCUAAGUUGGACGUGAAAACUCUGGGCUUAACCCAGAGCCUGCAUUCAAUACUGACAGGCUAGAGUUCUGGAGGGGAUAGCGGAAUUCCUGGUGUAGCGGUGAAAUGCGUAGAUAUCAGGAGGAACACCAAUUGCGAAGGCAGCUCGCUGGGACGUUACUGACGCUGAGACGCGAAAGCGUGGGGAGCAAACAGG